GACGAACGCUGGCGGCGUGCUUAACACAUGCAAGUCGAACGGAAAGGCGCGGCUUUUGUUGGUUGCUCGUUUGGCGAACGCGUGUGUAACACGUGAGUAUCCUGCCCUUGACUUUGGGAUAACUUCUGGAAACUGGGGCUAAUAUCGGGUAUGAGCUCCUGCUGCAUGUGGGGGGUUGGAAAGUUUCGGCGGUUGGGGAUGGUCUCGCGGCUUAUCAGCUUGUUUGUGGGGUAGUGGCGUACCAAGGCUUUGACGGGUAGCCGGCCUGAGAGGGUGACCGGCCACAUUGGGACUGAGAGACGGCGCAGAAUCCUAAGGGAGGCAGCAGUGGGGAAUAUUGCACAAUGGGCGGAAGCCUGAUGCGGCAACGCCGGGUGCGGGAUAACGGCCUUCGGGUGGUAAACCGAUUUCGACUGUGACGAAGCGUGAGUGACGGUAAUGGGUAAAGAAGCACCGGCUAACUACGUG
rnacentral:rRNA from 1 species